UUGAUGAGGACGCACCAGCCACACCUGGAACUGAGACACGGUCCGGACUCAAACGGGAGGCAGCAGUGGGGAAUAUUGGACAAUGGGGGAAACCCUGAUCCAGCGACGCCGUCGUGUGUGAAGAAGGCCUGCGGGUUGUCAAGCACUUUUAGUGGGGACAAACAAGCUACGGAUUAAUACUCUGUGGUCUUGAUUUAACCCAAAGAAAAAGCACCGGCUAAUCUCUGUGCCAGCAUGGCCGCUGGUAAUACAUGAGGGUGCGAGCGUUAAUCGGAAUUACUGGGCGUAAAGCGCACGUAGACGUUUGGUAAGUCAGAUGUGAAAUCCCCGGGCUCAACCUGGGAACUGCAUUUGAUACUGCCUGGCUAGAGUAUCGAAGAGG
rnacentral:rRNA from 1 species